GUGCCUACGGGGCGCAGCAGUGGGGAAUAUUGCACAAUGGGGGAAACCCUGAUGCAGCAACGCCGCGUGAGUGAGGAAGUAUUUCGGUAUGUAAAACUCUCUCAGCAGGGAAUAGAAAAGAAGGUACCUGAAAAAGAAGCCCCGGCUAACUACGUGCCAGCAGCCGCGGUACUACGUAGGGGGCAAGCGUUAUCCGGAUUUACUGGGUGUAAAGGGAGCGUAGACGGAAAGGCAAGACAGAAGUGAAAACACAAGGCUCAACCAUGGGACUGCUUUUGAAACUGUCAAACUAG
rnacentral:rRNA from 1 species